rnacentral:rRNA from 1 species
AAGACGAUGACGUUGAUAGGUCGGGUGUGUAAGUGUAGCGAUACAUUGAGCUAACCGAUACUAAUGAACCGUGAGGCUUAACCUUACAACGCCGAAGGUGUUU